UACGUAGGGGGCAAGCGUUGUCCGGAUUUAUUGGGCGUAAAGAGCGUGUAGGCGGCCAGGUAGGUCUGCUGUGAAAACUCGAGGCUUAACCUCGAGCUGUCGGCGGAAACCAUCUGGCUAGAGUCCGGAAGAGGAGAAUGGAAUUCCCGGUGUAGCGGUGAAAUGCGCAGAUAUCAGGAAGAACACCCGUGGCGAAGGCGGCUCUCUGGAACGCAACUGACGCUGAGACGCGAAAGCGUGGGGAGCGAACAGG
rnacentral:rRNA from 1 species